rnacentral:tRNA from 1 species
GAGGCACUAGUUUAAGAAAAACAUAGGCAUGUCAUCCCUAAAUUACCAAGCUAUCUGGUGUGCCUCU